rnacentral:rRNA from 1 species
GACGAACGCUGGCGGCGUGCUUAACACAUGCAAGUCGAACGGAGUGGCGAACGGGUGAGUCACACGUGGGUGAUCUGCCUUGCACUUCGGGAUAAGCUUGGGAAACUGGGUCUAAUACCGGAUAGUGCAAGAUGAGCUCGCUUCCUAUCAGCUCGUUGGUGGGGUAGUGGCCUACCAAGGCGUCGAAGGGUGGCCGGCCUGAGAGGGUGUACGGCCACAGUGGGACUGAGAUACGGCCCGGACUCCUACGGGAGGGAGCAGUGAGGAAGAGUGCACAAUGGGCGGAAUGCUGCUGCAGGGACGCCGCGUGGUGGAGGAAUGCCUUCGGGUUGUAAACUCCUUGCGACAGGGACUCGGUACGUGUAUAAGAAGCACCGGCUAACUACGUGCCAGCAGCCGCGGUAAUAC